UCCUGUGAUGACCUGUGGCGGAAGGUAAACCGAAGGUGACUGCGGUUAACGUCCUCGAUGGGAAUGGCCACCUUCAAGAAUUGAAAAAGAAGUUUAAGCACUGUUAUCAAUAUCAUCCAGCGUAACAGCUUUAUUCAACUGGAGCUAUCAGGCGGAGCACAGAGGACUUUUAGGAUGGUGAAGCUACCCAGUGAGAGACUACAAUGAGAUAAUUGGUCUUUCACAUUCCUCGUGCUGUCACCAAAAAUAACAGAGCAACAGCAGGGUGGAGGAAGAGCACCAGCACGGUGGAGGAAGAGCACCAACAUGGCAGAUAAAGAGCACCAACAUGGCGGAGGAAGAGCACCAACAUGGCGGAGAAAGAGCACCAACAUGGCAGAGGAAAAGCACCAACAUGGCGGAGGAAGAACACCAACAUGGCGGAGGAAGAACACCAACAUGGCGGAGAAACAGCACCAACAUGGCGGAUGAAGAGCACCAACAUGAAGCUAACCGCGUUCUCUUCACAGUUUGCCUUUCUUCCUCUUCUUCGUUGCUUUGACCGUCCUGCACAUAUCCAUUCUUAUGUCCAUCACCAAGACCUGAAAACCUCCACUGACUGGCUUCCCUACAGACUGAGAAUAUGGCAGAAAAGCUUAUAAAUCACAGCUGUGCAUUGUCCAAUCAACAUUCAACAGUGAUUCUUUUGAAAGUGACUGUGAAGAUCUGAAACUCUCAAGGAAACACAGAGAAAUAGAUUACCAGCCACUCCAAAAGGUCGCCGCAACCCCGA
ensembl:lncRNA novel transcript